UACGAGAAGGCAGCUACACGGCGACGUGAUGCUAACUCCGAAAGCCUCUCUCAGUUCGGAUUGGAGUCUGCAACCCGACUCCAUGAAGCUGGAUUCGCUAGUAAUCGCGCAUCAGCCACGGCGCGGUGAAUACGUUCCCGGGCCUUGUACACACCGCCCGUCAAGCCAUGAAAGCCGGGGGUACCUGAAGUGCGUAACCGCAAGGAGCGCCCUAGGGUAAAACUGGUGAUUGGGGCUAAGUCGUAACAAGGUAAC
rnacentral:rRNA from 1 species